UCACACUUGAUACACACUAAUCAUGGCUUUAUUUCAAUUAAUUUCAAUUAACACAGAGAAAAAUUAAAAAAGGGAAGAGGAUUAGGGUUUACGUGUGACCCUUGGACCUGUUGUUCUCAGACUCUCUCCUGCUCCUCAUGGACGAACGGCGUGGCGGUCGGAACAGCCUCCCUCUCCGGUGAGGUUUCAAUCGACGCCGUAAACCACCCGAAUCUCAUCAUCGGACCUGACACUCUCAUCUCUCUCCUCACGCAUCAGACGCAGCAGAGAAAAUGGAGAGCUCCACCUUUUCCGAUGAAGAGCAAAUCUCCGACCACCAUCACUUUCGAAUCAAGUCCCUCACCCUCUCCGUCUCAAACUCAAACUCUCUCGUCUCUCAAUCAAGCUCUCCGUCUCAAACUCGAACUCUCUCGAUCUCUUCUGUUAAGUUUUUUAUUCUUCUGAGUUGUUGUUCGUGAUUGUGGUGUGAUAUAUCGUUAUUCAAGCAGGUUGAAGAUUGAUGGAAGGUGUAAAGAAUCGCAAAUGAAUUUGAUUGAAUAAGCGAGUUUCUGGAGAUUGAAGGUUCAUCGAUGAGGAUGGGCGGGACAAAGGUUAGACUCGGUGAUUGACGAAGAAUGAUGGAUGGAUCGUGAAUUGUUGCUGCAGAUGCAGAUUAGUUUUCUGCAGGUUCUUGGAUGAAGAACCGAAUUGAAGUGUGAAGAAGGAACUGAAUGAAUAUAACGUGAGUUUUCUGUUUAGUGUGGAGUUGAAUGUUAUGAGGAAGAUGAAUGAAGAUGAAGAUGCCAUAGAUACAGAGAUGAUGAAGAUGAUGAAGGUGAGGACCGGUGGAGAGAGAGUUCAUUACAAGGGAGAAGAUUGAAGAUUGAAGAAGAUCAAGAUUUCGAUGAAUGGACAUGAAGAAGAUUUCGGUUAGAGGUAUGAAGAGAGCUUCAAUCGAUCCCCAGAAAGUUUGUUACAGGUUGUUACAUAUUUUUUCCUUUUUCCAUUCCGUCCUCCCUCCUUCUCUUUUUAUUCUGUUCUCUCUUUUCUGUGAUUCUGUUAUAUUCCUCCUCCCAAUUGAAAUUUUGUGUCUUGGUUUUUGAUUGCAUAAGUGAACUGUUUUAUUGUGAUGCUGCAGCCCGGUUUCAAUUGUGCACAGUCCUAUUUUAGGACUAUGCGGGUCCUUUGGUUUAGAUGUCGACUGAACCAGUUUUCUAUUCAUGUUGCGUUGCGCUGCUAUUUUGACUGUUUUUGCAGGGAGCUUUCGGUUCAUUUGAUUGUGUGAAGGUUGUGGCGUGGAGCAAAAUGGAUCAUGGCGGGAGAUCAUAAGAACUUGAAGAUUACGAGGGCCUUAACAUAGGUUUAGGCUCAGGAAUUAUGACUUUCAUGAAACUUUAUGUAAUAUUGAAUGUAAUAAAACCUUUAGUACCUUGUAACCCUUGUGAGGGCUUUGUUCCAAACCUGUGCAUUUGUAAUACUUUACGCCUUAUGAACACGUGUAACAAGUGUAUAGCUUUGAUAACAUUCAAGAAGAUUUUUGAAGUUUUUGAA